rnacentral:tRNA from 1 species
UGGCUCAGUCAGUUGAGCAUCUGACUUCAGCUCAGAUCGUGAUCUCGCAAUUUGUGGGUUCGAGUCCCCC